rnacentral:rRNA from 1 species
GAUGAACGCUGGCGGCGUGCCUAAUACAUGCAAGUCGAACGCACAGCGAAAGGUGCUUGCACCUUUCAAGGGAGUGGCGAGCGGGUGAGUACCACGUGGACCACCUGCCUCAAGGCUGGGGAUAACAUUUGGAAACAGAUGCUACUACCGAAUAGAACUUAGUGUCGCGUGACACAAAGUUAAAUGGCGCUUCGGCGUCACCUAGAGAUGGAUCCGCGGUGCAUUGGUUAGUUGGUGGGGUAAAGGCCUACCAAGACAAUGAUGCAUAGCCGAGUUGAGAGACUGAUCGGCCACAUUGGGACUGAGACACGGCCCAAAGUCCUGCGGGAGGCUGCAGUAGGGAAUCUUCCACAAUGGGCGAAAGCCUGAUGGAGCAACGCCGCGUGUGUGAUGAAGGCUUUCGGGUCGUAAAGCACUGCUGUAUGGGAAGAACAGCUAGAAUAGGAAAUGAUUUUAGUUUGACGGUACCAGAUCAGAAAGGGACGGCUAAAUACGUG